UGGGGAAUAUUGCACAAUGGGGGAAACCCUGAUGCAGCGACGACGCGUGAACGAAGAAGGUAUUCGUAUCGUAAAGUUCUGUCCUAUGGGAAGAUAAUGACAGUACCAUAGAAGAAAGCUCCGGCUAAAUACGUGCCAGCAGCCGCGGUAAUACGUAUGGAGCGAGCGUUGUCCGGAAUUAUUGGGCGUAAAGGGUACGCAGGCGGUUUAAUAAGUCGAAUGUUAAAGAUCGGGGCUCAACCCCGCAAAGCAUUGGAAACUGAUAAACUUGAGUAGUGGAGAGGAAAGUGGAAUUCCUAGUGUAGUGGUGAAAUACGUAGAUAUUAGGAGGAAUACCAGUAGCGAAGGCGACUUUCUGGACACAAACUGACGCUGAGGUACGAAAGCGUGGGGAGCAAACAGG
rnacentral:rRNA from 1 species